rnacentral:rRNA from 1 species
GAUGAACGCUGGCGGCGUGCCUAAUACAUGCAAGUCGAGCGAACAGACGAGGAGCUUGCUCCUCUGACGUUAGCGGCGGACGGGUGAGUAACACGUGGAUAACCUACCUAUAAGACUGGGAUAACUUCGGGAAACCGGAGCUAAUACCGGAUAAUAUAUUGAACCGCAUGGUUCAAUAGUGAAAGACGGUUUUGCUGUCACUUAUAGGUGGAUCCGCGCCGCAUUAGCUAGUUGGUAAGGUAACGGCUUACCAAGGCAACGAUGCGUAGCCGACCUGAGAGGGUGAGCGGCCACACUGGAACUGAGCCACGGUCCAGACUCCUACGGGAGGCAGCAGUAGGGAAUCUUCCGCAAUGGGCGAAAGCUUGACGGAGCAACGCCGCGUGAGUGAUGAAGGUCUUCGGAUCGUAAAACUCUGUUAUUAGGGAAGAACAAAUGUGUAAGUAACUAUGCACGUCUUGACGGUACCUAAUCAGAAAGCCACGGCUAACUACGUG